GCCGGGCACAGUGGCACGUGCCUGUAGCCCCGGCUACUCGGGAGGCUGAGGUGGAAGAAUCGCUUGAGCCUAGGAGUUCUGGGCUGUAGUGCGCUAUGCUGAUUGGGUGUCUGCACUAAGUUUGGCAUCAAUAUGGUGACCUCCAGGGAGUGAGGGACCACCAGGUUGCCUAAGGAGGGGUGAACGGCCCAGGUCGGAAAUGGAGCAGGUCAAAACUCCUGUGCUGAUCAGUAGUGGGAUUGCGCCUGUGAAUAGCCACUGGACUCCAGCCUGGGCAUUAUAGCGAGACCCCAUCUCUU
ensembl:misc_RNA Metazoa_SRP Metazoan signal recognition particle RNA